rnacentral:lncRNA from 1 species
CCACAACCGCAGCCCGAGGUUCUCGGCUCUCGUCAAUGGCUGCUCGGAUCGCUUCGGAACGGCUCUCAGCUGGGGCGAGGCAUGGAAGGGGCGCGCCUAUGGCUUGUGGUGGCAGCCGUGCUGGGAAUGGGGUCGAAGAGCACGGGUUUAACAUGUUUGGAACCCCCACAAAACGUUACCACCAGUGUUAUUAAUGCAAAUAUUACGCUGAAAUGGGAUUGGGAUAAUCCUUGUGGGCUCAAUGUAACAUUUUCAGUACAAUACCCCAGUUCUUCCAGACGCUCUGAAAUCUGGGCAGCUAUUCCUCAAUGUCAGAAUAUAACUAUCACAGAAUGUGAUCUCUCGUCAACAAUUUCAGAUUAUUUGGCAUCUUAUAAAGUGGCUAUAAGAGCGAACACUCUGAAAAAUCACUCUCCUUAUGCCUUUUUAGAAUUUACUCCUUAUAUAGAAGGUAUGAAUCCUUUGCCUUGUUUACUCACAUUAGAAAACAAAGUUGGUAAUUAAAUGUACAUCUUUAUUUUAGUUGUGUCAACAGGCAAUAACAGCAUCUU